GUCCUAUCAAUCUUGAUCUAUCAAUUGUGGCCGUCUUAUUAGAUGAAUGCUUCCUCAUAUUGCAAAGGUCAUACCAAAGAAUGGAAGACCACACAAAACAAUAAGACGAACAAAGCUCUUCUGUUUAUGUUUUGACACAUAUCAGUCUCCCCAUAUUUCCAAAGGACAGUUCAGAAGGCAACAUAAAAUGUUUGAAAACAAAAAAGGACAAUAUUUCUUAAUCGCGGUGGGCAUUAAUUUUGGCAUUUUUGGUUGUGUUGUUUCUCCACGAUAAUCAUGCUACUUCAAUAAAGUAAUUGUGAUUGAUUUGUCCAUAUUAGCAAUUUUCCCACUGCCCAUUCUACCUUUUUGCCAAUGGCCUCCCGCCACAUCAUGGAAAGUCCCCACUUUCAAAACAAUACCACAAAGUGUGCCUCCCCCACCCCUCCCCCACCUCCACGUGAGUGACAAUCCCGUGCAACCCAAAGCACUUGACCGUAGUCAAUUGGCGAUGUCAAAGCACGUUGGGGCACGCGCGGUGCAAUGGCUUAGAUUGCGUCUAUGAUUUGCGACUUACCCAGAUAUCCCCUGGAUUCGACCUAGACAGGCGUGAUCCCGUAGGCUGGCGGAGCAAGGGAACAAAAACCCCCAGGGUUGCCUUAAAUUCACAAACGUUGACUUGUCCACCACCCCAACACAGUGCCCCGCACUCAACCCAACCAACCCCCCCGGCACAAAAAAAAAAACAAAAAACAAUAUCAUCACCACCUCCGCCAUAAAAAUGGUCAAGCAAUUAGCAAAAGCUAAAUUGCGCAGAUUGGCAUUUAAGAUAGAAUCGGGGCUUUAGAGGUAUGAUUAUUCUGAAAGCAAGAGCUCCCUUCCAUCGGGAAAAAAAAUUGUAAAAGAAAAGAAGUUAUAUAUGUAUAUGUAUGUAUACGUGUCAAACUUUUGCGAUCUUCUCUCUCCUCAUGUUUUUCUUUCUUUCUUAUUUCUUUUAUUACUUUCCCUUCCACACGCAUGCAUUAAUGAUUGGAAUUUCUCCUCUCUCUCUUUUUUUUCUUUUUUUUUUUUGGUUCCUUAUGUUCUCUUAACGCAAUUUUGUUUACUUCCUGAUAGUCUACUUCUUAAUGAGGUUUAUGCUGUGAUAAAACUGUCCAAUAUUUACAAUUUAUUUUUAGCUCGCUUUGACGAUAUAUUGAUUUUUGAAACGACUCCAAAAGUGUUGACUCUAAAAGAGAAUAUUGAAGACGUAUAUAAUCUACCUUAUGGCGUAACAAACAUUUCUAUCAUAUUAACAAGAUGGUAGAAUGUUCUGUUUUCAUCACUGAGUAAUGUUAUUUGUGUUUAUUAUGAAAUUUAUACAUCCAUUGAGUUUCAAAGUACCCAAAAGCUUGUACAUGCCCAUGAGAACUAUUAGAAUUUUAUAUUUAAAAAAUAUAAGAAUUGAAAGGGGUGACAAUUCAUUAUACAAAUUAACAUAUUUGUAAAUGAUUAUUUGACAAUUUCGAAAAUGACAAGAAUUGAUUUGAACUUUAACAAAAUUAUAACAUUGUCAGAUGAACAUAAAUUGCCGGCCAAUCGAAUUUUUUAUUUUUAUUUUGACAAAAAGUAGUUAUAGUUAGUUACAAUUGAAAGACAUAUGGAAGACAGAUGCUAACGUGAAAGCUUCAGAAUGCUCAUAAUACUUCUCUCAAUAACCUAUAUGCCUACCAAAUAAGUAGAAGCUAAAAGACUCCUUUGCAUGAUUCCUCUUUCUUGAAUGACUAGGUAAUUAGCAGCAUUCUCGCUCGUUUGUAUAGACGUGGAAUCUUUCAUUUAUAUAAAGGCGGAAUAUGUUUUUAAUACAAGUAAUUAAUUAAUUUGUAUCUCAUUUCAUAUGAAUCUAUCUUUUUUGAAGAAAAAAUGCUAAAUUCAUAACUUGUAUCAUGUAAAAAAAACAUAGGGAUAUGAUAACAUUUAAAACUUCAUGAUUGUUGAUGUUAUAUGACAUAGUGUGAUUAAAAAUAUAACAUUGUUGGAAUAUUGAGAGAAAAUUACAAAACUCAUCAAAAGAAAUAUAUAAUAGGAUGUGUUACCUUGCUAAAUUGCAAUGCUAAAACUCAUUAAGACCCAUGGCCUCGAACAAGGCAAUCACAUAUGAGAAAGAGGAAUUCUUGUUGGAAGCAAGAUGAGUGGAAAGUACAAGAAAAGGAGAAUGAUCAUCUUGAAAGUUUUUAGUGACUACUAAAUAUUUAUAGUAGAUUUUCUAGUGAGGUGAUGAUUCGGUAGUGAAGUGGAAAUAGUAGCCCAUUUAGAAAAUUAGCCACGUGUCUUGCGCAUCGAUAGUUUGCCAGAAAAUUUCGGAUUUUUUUGUCAAAGUGCAUAAAUUAUAAACAAAUGAAAAUAUAUUGCCUUAGGUGAUUAAACAAAAGUUCAAUGACUACAUUACAAAAUAUUUUACUAUAUAGUUACCCCAUAAUUUUGAGAGUUAACAAUUGAGCUCAUUGAAGAAAGUGACUCUACUUUAAAUUCUUCAUUUCAAUUUAAAAUCACAAUUUGAAUAGUAACUCUACUUUGACUUAUCUAGAUUUUAUGGUGCCGUGAUUAUGCUUAACGCAACCAAUUUUAACCAAAGGGGGGCUUCGCGAUUAUGCUUUGUCUCAACUACAACUAUUUUUAUUUUUGUUAAUUUUAAUUAUUUAGUUGGCUAGCAUAACAAUUAAUCAUGAGUUCCAAUAUUCACCAUCGAAGCAAAAAAAUAAUAAUAAUAAUCAUGGGUCAUACCUUUUCUACCAAGAAGAGAGGUUGUUUUUCAAAUGGCAUAUCAUUCUUAGGGUGUGAUGCAAGUAUCUCCACUUUGUGACACUCAUAAAUGUCCAGGGUCUUCAAUGCUGGCCAAUGUGACACAUAUUUUCCGAUGUAGAUGCACCUCAACUGUGUUAAACGUUGAAGCUUGAGGGAGGUUAACUUUGGGAACACAAACCUAGGAACUCCUCUGUCUUCCUUCUUGAUAAGUUCCACAAUGCCACAUUCAUCAAUCUCCAAUUCCUCAAGUUGGGUUAGAUGUAUUGCUACUGAGGCUGGAAAUAGAGAGGUGAGGCUCUUGCAUCCAAAAACGGUAACAAAACGAAGACACUCGAAUUUCACUUGAUUGUGGAGUUCCUUAUCCCAUACACACUUUAGCUUUGGUAAUCCAUCUAACUUUAGCCUUUCUAACAAGAAAUCAGUUAUAGGAUGUCCAUCUAGAGGAUUCAGUGGCUGAAGUUUGAAAACAACUUCAAGCAAAUCACAUGAUUGUACCUUCAAACUUUCCAAGUUCUUAAGCCAUCCAAUUUUCGAAAGCUUAUUGCAUCUCCACACCUUAAGCGAUUUUAUUUUGUGUAAAGAAUCCGCAGCAACUUGAUUGUCCCGUAUUAUCUCAAUAUUAUCCAUGUCUUUGAUUGCUAAUGUCUCCAAGUUAGGAAAUGCAACCUGCAGUAUUCCCUCGCGAAAUUAGUGAUUCGGAUAGAUUAAAAGUUCAUAAAGUUCUAUUACAUAUAGAAGAGCUUGCUUGAGGAAGAAUGUCAUCAUUAGAAAGUAAAAAUGAAGAGAUUGAGAUUAAAAAGGCAACCAAUCAUCCUUCAAAAGUUGUGACAGCCCAAGCGACGGUGCGCGGGGAGGAGGGAUGGCGGUGCGUCCACACCUUGGUCCCCGAACGUGCGCAGGGAAGGAGAAGGGGUCCUUCUCUAGUCCCACAUCGCUUAGGGGGGAGUCCUAGGCUAGUUUAUAAAGGCUUAAGUCCAUCUAAUCUGUGUAACGCGUUUUAAAGCCGUGAGGACUCAGUGUCCAAAGCGGAUCAUAUUACACAAUGGGACUCGGGUCGUUACAAAAGUGGCGGUACAGAAUUAGCUGCUCGCUUCAACCUUGAAAUCAAAUUUUGAGUUUCUUAAUUACAUGAUGCGAGGAAACACAUGGAAGAAGCGAUUGUCCUUAUCAAUUUUGAUCUAUCAAUUGUGGCUAUCUUAUUAGAUGAACGCUUCCUUAUCUUGCAAAGGUCAUACCAAAGGAUGGAACACCACAAAAAACAAUAAGACAAACAAAGCUCUUAUGUUUAUGUUUUGACACAUAUUAGUCUCGCCAUCUUUUCGAAGGAUGGUUCAGAAAGCAAUAUAAAAUAUUUGAAAACGAAAAAGGAAAAUAUUUCUUAAUAGCGGUGGGCAUUAAUUUUGGCAAGUUCGGUUGUGUUGUUUCUCCAUGAUAAUCAGGCUACUUCAAUAAAGUAAUGGCAGUUGAUUUGUGCUUAUUAGCAACUUUCCCACUUCCCAUUCUACCUCUCCACCAAUGGCCUCCCGCCACAUCAUGGAAAGUCCCACUUUCCAAACAACACCACAAAGUGUGCCUCCCUCACCCCUACCCCCACGUGAGUGACAAUCCUGUGCAACCCAAAGCACUCGAGAGCAAUCAAUUAGCGCUGUCUCAACGCGCAUGGGCGCGUAUGGCGCAACGGCUUAGGUUGCGUCAAUGAUUUGUGACUUAUUCGGAUAUCCCCAGGAUUCGACCCAGACAGGUGCGAUCACGUAGACUCGCAGAGCAGGGGAACGAAAACCCCCAAGCUUUCCUUAAAUUCACAAACGUUGACUUGUCCACCAACCCAACACAGUGCCAGCACUCAACCCAACCAACCCCCGAGCACCAACAAAAAAAAAAAAAACAAUAUCAUCACCACCUCCAUAAAAAUGGUCGAGUAAUUAGCAAAAACUAAUUUGCGCAGAUUGGCAUUAAGAUAGAAUCGGGGCUUUAGAGGUAUGAUUAAUCUGAAAAAAAAAAAAAAAAAAAAGAGCUCCCUUCCAUCGGGAAAAAAAAUUGCAAAAGAAAAGAAGAUAUAUAUGUAUAUGUAUGUAUACAUGUCAAACUUUUGCGAUCUUCUCUCUCCUCAUGUUUUUCUCUCUCUUAUUUCUUUUAUUACUUUCCCUUCCACACGUGUGCAUUUAUGAUUGGAAUUUCUUCUCUCUUUUUUUCCUUUUUUUUUGUUCCCUUCAUAUGUUCUCUUAAUGCAAUUUUGCUUCCUUCCUGAUAGUCUACUUCUUAAUAAGGUUUAUGUUGUGAUAAAACUAUCCAAUAGUUUACAAUUUCUUUUUAGCUCGCUUUGACGAUAUAUUGAUUUUUGAAACGACUCCAAAAUUGUCUAAAAGAGAAUAUUUGAGAUGUGUAUAAUCUACUUUAUGAUGUAACAAACAUUUCUAUCAUAUUAACAAGAUGGUAGCAUGUUCCUUUUUCGUCACUUGAGUAAUGUUAUUUGUGUUUAUUACGAAAUUAAUACAUCCAUUGAGUUUCAAAGUACCCAAAAGCUUGUACAUGUCCAUGAGAACUACUAGAAUUUUAUAUAUAAAUAAUAUAGGAAUUGAACGGGCUGACAAUUCAUUAUACAAAUUAACAUAUUCCUAAAUAAUUAUUUCACAAUUUCAAACAUGAAACGAAUUGAUAUGAACUUUAAUAUAUGUAAAUUUGUGGCAAAAUUAACAAAAAUAUAGCGUUGUCAGAUGAACAUAAAUUGCCGGCCAGUCGAAUUUUUUAUUUUUAUUUUGAUAGAAAGUACUUAUAUUUAGUUACGAUUGGAAGACAAAUGGAAGACAGAUGCUAACAUGAAAGCUUCAGAAUGCUCAUGAUGCUUCUCUCAAUAACCUAUAUGCCUACCCAAUAAGCAGAAGCUGAGAGACUCCUUUGCAUGAUUCCUCUUUCUUCAAUUACUAGGUAAUUAGCAGCAUUCUCACGCAUUUGUGCAAAUGUGGAAUCUUUCAUUUAUAUAAAACCGGAAUAUAAUUUUAAUACAAGUAAUUAAUUAAAUUGUAUCUCAUUUCAUAUGAAUCUACCCUUUUUGAAGAAAAAAAGGCUAAAUUCAUAACUCGUAAUAUGUACAAAAACAUAGGGAUUUGAUAACAUUUAAAACUUCAUGAUUGUCGAUGUUAUAUGACAUAGUGUGAUGAUAUAUAUAUAUAUAUAUAUAUAUAUAUAUAUAUAUAUAUAAUAUAAUAUAAUAUAACAUUGUUGGAAUAUUGAGAGAAAAUUACAAAACUCAUCAAAAGAAAUAUAUAAUAGGAUGUGUUACCUUGCUAAAUUGCAAUGCUAAAACUCAUUAAGACCCAUGGCCUCAAACAAGGCAAUCACAUAUGAGAAAGAGGAAUUCUCGUUGGAAGCAAGAUGAGUGGAAAGUACAAGAAAAGGAGAAUGAUCAUCUUGCAAGUUUUUAGUGACUCUAUUAAAUAUUUAUAGUAGAUUUUCCAAUGAGGUGAUGAUUCGGUAGUGAAGUGGAAAUAGUUGCCCAUUUAGAAAAUUAGCCACGUGUCUUGCGCAUAGAUAGUUCGCCGGAAAAUUUCAGAUUUUUUUGUCAAAGUGCAUAAAUUAUAAAGUUGCCUUAGGUGAUUAAACAAAAGUUCAAUGACUACAUUACAAAAUAUUUUACUAUAUAGUUACCCCAUAAUUUUGAGAGUUAACAAUUGAGCUCAUUGAAGAAAGUGACUCUACUUUAAAUUCUUCAUUUCAAUUUAAAAUCACAAUUUGAAUAGUAACUCUACUUUGACUUAUCUAGAUUUUAUGGUGCCGUGAUUAUGCUUAACGCAACCAAUUUUAACCAAAGGGGGGCUUCGGCGAUUAUGCUUUGUCUCAACUACAACUAUAUCUUUUUUUGUUAAUUUUAAUUAUUUAGUUGGCUAGCAUAACAAUUAAUCAUGAGUUCCGAUAUUCACCAUUGAAGCAAAAAAUAAUAAUAAUAACCAUGGGUCAUACCUUUUCUACCAAGAAGAGAGGUUGUUUAUCAAAUGGCAUAUCAUUCUCAGUGUGUGAUGCAAGUAUCUCCACUUUGUGACACUCAUACAUGUCCAGGGUCUUCAAUGCUGGCCAAUGUGACACAUAUUUUCCGAUGCAGAUGCACCUCAUCUGUGUUAAACGUUGAAGCUUGAGGGAGGUUAACUUUGGGAACACAAACCUAGGAACUCCUCUGUCUUCCUUCUUGAUAAGUUCCACAAUGCCACAUUUAUCAAUCUCCAAUUCCUCAAGUUGGGUUAGAUCUAUUGCUAAUGAUGCUGGAAAUAGAGAGGUGAGGCUCUUGCAUCCAUAAAUUGAAACAAAACGGAGACACUGGAAUUUGACUCGACUUAGGAGUUCCUUCUCCCAUACACAGUUUAGCUUUGGUAACCAAUGUAACUUUAGCCUUUUUAAUGGCAAAUGAGCAACAAGAUGUCCAUCUAGAGGAUUUAAUGGCUGAAGUUUGAAAACAACUUCAAGCAAAUCACAUGAUUGUACCUCCAAAAUUUCCAAGCUCUUGAGCCGUCCAAGAAUGCAAGAAGGAGCAAUGCUCAAUAGCUUAUUCCAUCUCCGCACCUCAAGCGAUUUUAGUUUGUGGAAAGAAUCCGCAGCAACUUGAUUGCCCCAUAUUAUCUCGAUAUUAUCCAUGUCCCUGAUUGCUAAUGUCUCCAAGCUAGGAAAUGCAACCUGUGGUAUUCCCUCGCGAAAUUAGUGAUUUUGAUAGAUUAAAAGUUCAUAAAGUUCCAUUACAUAUAGAAGAGCUUGCUUGAGGAAGAGUGUCAUCAUUAGAAAGCAAACAAUGAAGAGAUUGAGAUUAAAAAGAAAACCAAUCAUCCAUCAAAAGUCGCAGUAUAGAAUUAGCUGCUCGCUUCAACCUUGAAAUCAAAUUUUGAGUUUCUUAAUUGCUGUAAAGAAAAAUUACGUGAUGCGAGGAAACACAUGGAAGAAGUGAUAGUCCUAAUCUUGCAAAGGUCAUAUUAGAUGAAUGCUUCCUUAUAUUGCAAAGGUCAUACCAAAGGAUGGAAGACCACACAAAACAAUAAGACAAACAAAGCUCUUCUAUAUAUGUUUUGACACAUAUUAAUCUCCCAAUAUUUUUGAAGGACGGUUCAAAAGGCAAUAUAAAAUAUUUGAAAACAAAAAAGGACAAUAUUUCUUAAUAGCGG
rnacentral:lncRNA from 1 species